GGAUUAGAUACCCUGGUAGUCCACGCCGUAAACUAUGAUUACUCGAUGUCGGCGAUAUACUGUCGGUGUCCAAGCGAAAGUGAUAAGUAAUCCACCUGGGGAGUACGAUCGCAAGGUUGAAACUCAAAGGAAUUGACGGGGGCUCACACAAGCGGUGGAGGAUGUUGUUUAAUUCGAAGCAACGCGAAGAACCUUACCUGGGCUUGAAAUCAUAGUGGUAGUGAACCGAAAGGGGAACGACUCCAGUUUUCUGGAGAGCUAUGACAGGUGUUGCAUGGCUGUCGUCAGCUCGUGCUG
rnacentral:rRNA from 1 species